rnacentral:tRNA from 1 species
GCAUUGGUGGUAUAGUGGUGAGCAUAGCUGCCUUCCAAGCAGUUGACCAGGUUUCGAUUCCCGGCCAAUGCA